UGUCCAGGGUGAAGUUCAGGUAACACUGAAUGGAGCCCGAACCACGCACGUUGAAAAGUGCGGGGAUGAGGUGUGGGUAGCGGAGAAAUUCCAAUCGAACCUGGAGAUAGCUGGUUCUCCCCGAAAUAGCUUUAGGGCUAGCCUUAAGUGUAAGAGCUUGGAGGUAGAGCACUGAUUGGACUAGGGGUCCUCAUCGGAUUACCGAAUUCAGUCAAACUCCGAAUGCCAAUGACUUAUCCUUAGGAGUCAGACUGCGAGUGAUAAGAUCCGUAGUCAAAAGGGAAACAGCCCAGACCGCCAGCUAAGGUCCCAAAGUGUGUAUUAAGUGGAAAAGGAUGUGGAGUUGCUUAGACAACUAGGAUGUUGGCUUAGAAGCAGCCACCAUUUAAAGAGUGCGUAAUAGCUCACUAGUCGAGUGACUCUGCGCCGAAAAAUGUACCGGGGCUAAAUACACCACCGAAGCUGCGGAUUGAUACCAAUGGGUAUCAGUGGUAGGGGAGCGUUCUAAGGACAGUGAAGUCAGACCGGAAGGACUGGUGGAGUGCUUAGAAGUGAGAAUGCCGGUAUGAGUAGCGAAAGACGGGUGAGAAUCCCGUCCACCGAAUGCCUAAGGUUUCCUGAGGAAGGCUCGUCCGCUCAGGGUUAGUCAGGACCUAAGCCGAGGCCGACAGGCGUAGGCGAUGGACAACAGGUUGAUAUUCCUGUACCACCUCUUUAUCGUUUGAGCAAUGGAGGGACGCAGAAGGAUAGAAGAAGCGUGCGAUUGGUUGUGCACGUCCAAGCAGUUAGGCUGAUAAGUAGGCAAAUCCGCUUGUCGUGAAGGCUGAGCUGUGAUGGGGAAGCUCCUUAUGGAGCGAAGUCUUUGAUUCCCCGCUGCCAAGAAAAGCUUCUAGCGAGAUAAAAGGUGCCUGUACCGCAAACCGACACAGGUAGGCGAGGAGAGAAUCCUAAGGUGUGCGAGAGAACUCUGGUUAAGGAACUCGGCAAAAUGACCCCGUAACUUCGGGAGAAGGGGUGCUUUCUUAACGGAAAGCCGCAGUGAAUAGGCCCAAGCGACUGUUUAGCAAAACACAGCUCUCUGCGAAGCCGUAAGGCGAAGUAUAGGGGGUGACACCUGCCCGGUGCUGGAAGGUUAAGGAGAGGGGUUAGCGUAAGCGAAGCUCUGAACUGAAGCCCCAGUAAACGGCGGCCGUAACUAUAACGGUCCUAAGGUAGCGAAAUUCCUUGUCGGGUAAGUUCCGUCCCGCACGAAAGGUGUAACGAUUUGGGCACUGUCUCAACCAGAGACUCGGUGAAAUUAUAGUACCUGUGAAGAUGCAGGUUACCCGCGACAGGACGGAAAGACCCCGUGGAGCUUUACUGUAGCCUGAUAUUGAAUUUUGGUACAGUUUGUACAGGAUAGGCGGGAGCCUUUGAAACCGGAGCGCUAGCUUCGGUGGAGGCGCUGGUGGGAUACCGCCCUGACUGUAUUGAAAUUCUAACCUACGGGUCUUAUCGACCCGGGAGACAGUGUCAGGUGGGCAGUUUGACUGGGGCGGUCGCCUCCUAAAGUGCAACGGAGGCGCCCAAAGGUUCCCUCAGAAUGGUUGGAAAUCAUUCGUAGAGUGCAAAGGCAUAAGGGAGCUUGACUGCGAGACCUACAAGUCGAGCAGGGACGAAAGUCGGGCUUAGUGAUCCGGUGGUUCCGCAUGGAAGGGCCAUCGCUCAACGGAUAAAAGCUACUCCGGGGAUAACAGGCUUAUCUCCCCAAGAGUCCACAUCGACGGCAGGUUUGGCACCUCGAUGUCGGCUCAUUCGCAUCCU
rnacentral:rRNA from 1 species